CAGGCGGCAUGCCGUAGUGCUAAUAGUAAAUAAUAGUCGAUCUACGUCUAAUGUCUAUGAACAGUAUGAACCGACCAGUUAACUGUGAAAUGUAAUAAUUUAUUAAAAACAUUUUAAUAAUUAAUAUAUUGAAUAACGUGAACAUUUGAAAACAUUAAAAUAUAAAAUAAUAAAAUAUGCCAUAAAUACUGAUACAGUUGUUUCUUAUUAUAUAAUAUUAAAUAGUGUCGCAGACAAUUGCUGAGAAUAAACCUGCGGAGUGGCAAAAGCUGACUUACAAAUUGUACAAUCAUUUAUGUACUUCAACAGUUGUUUUGAUAGGUUGAUAAAUAUCUUUCAAAUCUGUCAUAGAUAUAAUUGGUUUUAAUGGAGAAUCAUCAUGUACAGUACAAUUUCCACUCUUGGGAGGCUUUAAAAUGCUGUAAGUAGAUAGUAGUUUAUACAAUUGGAGAAAAUUAGGGGUUGAAGGAUGAUCAUUUUGGCCAGCAGCUUGGCGAAUUGUUCCAAAAAACAUCUAGAUAUUUAAAGUUCCAGCAUGACUUUAAAUAACUAGAAAGAUCAAGAGUAGAUUGAAUUGUAAUUCUUAGCCCACAAGCAGUGCUAUCAGAUAAAAAUUCUGAUUUUUUUACUUCGCCAUCUGUAUAUUGUUUUUGCCAUUCAUUCAACCAAACCAAAAAUGAUUGAAGAAACUGUACAUUUUAAAUUUAAUUAUUUAGUCUUUGCCGUUAACUCUUAGUCCUUCAGCACCAAAUUUUCUGUUCAGUGCGUCAAAACAAUCAUUAAACUUUUGACAAAAUUCAGAUGUUGGAUCACAAUCACUUAAGCCAGGAAUAUUAUAUUUUUUAUAAAACAUUAAGCCAUUAGCAAUAGAAUUACUCAAUACCUAAAUUAUGUAUAAAGACAAAAAUCUAUGAAUUUUUAAAAAAAAUGUAUACUUGGGUAGCUAGCCGUACUCUCAUUUUAUCAGACACACUAAGAUGUACAUGGUUUCUGGAUAAUUUUGGACAAACCCUUAAAUUUCCUGGUAAUUUGCUAUCUUGCUCGUAUAAAAUAUUAAUGUGAUUCCAACGGAUAUACUGACCAUUAAUCUACAUAAAGAAAGAUGAGGUGUAUUAGAAAAUGCAUAUAUUUUCCGAUCUUCAUGAAGAGGGUGUUGAAACCAAUUUUUAAAGGAAUUAACUUGGCCACUUAUUCCAAGUUCAGACCACAUUUUUCUGUUUGUCUGAGCUCCAUCAGAGACAAAUCCAUGUAUAAUAGCACCUGCUUGCUCUAAAAGAAUUAUACAUUUCAACAUAAGUUUUGCUAACUCUGUGCCAACUACAGGUCCUUUAGAUGCAAAUACGGCUACAGGUUGAGAAUAAGUGGCUGCAAGUGGCUGGAACAUAAAUACUAAGCAACUUGUUGCCUUUUCAUUUAUAUCACUUGCUUUAUAAUCAUCACCAAAAUCUACAAGGCCUUUAUAAGUGUUUUUUAAAUAGAGCAAAAAAUUGUUUAUCAAAUCCACAAGAUGUAUCUAUUAAAGAGAGAUAACGCCUAAUAGUACUAACAUUAGGCAAUGGCAUUAUAUUGUUCUUCAAGCAAAAAUUGUAACCACUUGGGGAUCGAAUAUGAAACAACAUACAUAGUAUUAACCAUUCAUCAGAAUAUCGUCUACCUUUAGAGUUAUUAACCUAGUUUACAAAACAAAAAAAUAAAAUUAAAUAAUAAUAUUCUGAUGAUAUUUUAAAUUAACAUAUUACUUUUGCUGCUGAAAAUAUUUCUUGAACAAUUGUCUUUUGAUUUACAGGGCAGUUAAUUUCAAUCAGUUUCUCUUCAAUAGAUUUUUGAGAAAUAUUACUAUACUCAGAUUGAAGGUUAAGUAAAUUUUUUUUUAAUGAACUAACUUGUUUUUCAAAGCGAUUCUUUUGUCUUCUGAGAACAUUGUUUCUUUUUUGUAAAAUUAUCAAUUUUUUUCUACUUUUUGGUGUAGUUUUUAGGGAAAUUCGUUUAGGAGAUGAUAGUAAGGUAGAUCGAAUUUGUUUUUGCUUUACAUUUCGUAUGGUUCUUGCACAGUACAAACAAUGUAAAUUAUUUGAAAUUAGGAACAAACAUUCUUUAUGUCGUUUCAUUUGCAUGGUAUCAAUUACAAUAUUUUCAGAAAUAUAAAAGAAUGAUUCAUAUCUAUAAUUGUGAGAAAAAAAAUUGAAAUUAUUUUAUUUUUAUUAUUCUUAACUAUUUUAUUUGUUACUUUUUUGAGUUUAUUAAAUCCAAUCCUUUACAAAUUUUGAAUAAAGCCAUUUCUUUAAUUAAACUUUUUAACUGAUCUAUACUUUCAAGAUUAGUAUUGGCAUUUACUAAUUUAUCAUUGCAUAUAUUUUUCCCCAAAAUAUUGCAAGUUAUUUUUGAACUUUGGCUUAUAAUUAUACUUUUCCGUAAAAAGGAAUUUAACAUGCCUUCAUUUUCUACAAAAAUAAUUUCAGAUAUACCAAAGUACUUCUUUUCAUAAGAAAAAUAUUUGUGCCAGUUAGGGGGUAGCUGCAAGUCUAAAGUAUUCAAUUCAUUAAAUGAAAUUGAAUUACUUUGCUCUUUUAUAGUUGUUGACAUAUUCUAUAAACAAAUUUAAUUUCAAAUUUUAAACUUAAGAAAGUAAUUAUUUAUACACAAAUAUGUUAUUUUGAUUAUAUCAAUGUUUUAAAUUUCUUACUUCUUGGCAUAUCAUAGUUUUAUUAACAUUGUACUUUGCAACGGAAUCAUCUAAUAUUAAAUUAUCAUUAGGCUUAGCAGAAUAAUUAUGAUCUAACAUUAUAUCCACUAUAUUUUUAUCAGUAUCACAUUGGUAAUCCUUAAAAUGUAAUGUUUAAUUUAAACAAAAUAUAAAAUUGUAAUAAUAAAUGUAUUAGUUAUUAAUUUAUAAUUACUAUAUCAGAAAAUAUAGGGACACUGGUUUCUGCAACUUUGCCACUACAAGAGUCCAUCAAUAAUUCCUCUGUCUAAUAAAUAUUAAAAUGUAAUACUUAAUUAUAAAUAUGUGUAAUUAUAUUUUUAUAAAUUA